GGAUCAUUACUGAACUGUCGACAGGAGUUGUUGCUGGUCCCCUCCGUGGGGGGGCAUGUGCACACCCUGUUUACACAUCCACUCACACCUGUGCACCCCUCUGUAGUUCUGUGGCCUGGGGGCUCUGUCCUCCUGCUGCGGUUCUAUGUUUUUACACACACACUGUAACAAAGUCUCAUGGAAUGUAUGUCGCAUUUAAUGCAAUCAAAAUACAACUUUCAGCAACGGAUCUCUUGGCUCUCGCAUCGAUGAAGAACGCAGCGAAAUGCGAUAAGUAAUGUGAAUUGCAGAAUUCAGUGAAUCAUCGAAUCUUUGAACGCACCUUGCGCCCUUUGGCCAUUCCGAAGGGCAUGCCUGUUUGAGCAUCAUGAACAUCUCAACUCUCAUGGCUUGCCAUGAUGAGCUUGGACUUUGGAGGUUUGCUGGCCUGCAGCCAGCUCCUCUUAAAUGAAUCAGCUUGCCAGUGUUUGGUGGCAUCACGGGUGUGAUAAAUAUCUACGCUCGUGAUCUUCCACCAGGGUAACCUUUAGCUAUAGAGGUUCGCUGGGGCUUAUAAACAAAUGUCUCUCUUUGGUGAGGGGCAGCCUUUGACUGUUUGGUCUCAAAUCAGGUAGGACUACCCGCUGAACUUAAGCAUAUCAAUAAGCGGAGGAAAAGAAACUAACGAGGAUUCCCCUAGUAACUGCGAGUGAAGCGGGAAGAGCUCAAAUUUAAAAUCUGGCGUGCCUCUGGC
rnacentral:rRNA from 1 species